CAGUAUCUAGCUAAAGGUAAAAAUUUUAAGAUGUUAUAUGAAAAGGAAGUCUUGUCAGUCUAAAAUGAUAUUCAGAAAGAAUUUGCUAAUCAAAAGCUAGUUAUAUAGUUUUGGUAAAUAUGGCUUGGCUUUUUUUUCUUUUUUUCUUUUUUUUUUUUACAGGUCAUGUGAGUGGCUCAGCAAUGUGUGACACUACAAAAACUGUGAGCAUGGUUUCUUAAAACACCAGUGCUUGUGCCAAGUAACGUUCAGAUGCUAUUUGCAGCAAAAUAGUUGGAACAUUCCAAAAAAACCCACCAACAUUGAAAAAUGACUUUCAUUCGGAUAUGAAAUGAAAAUGCACAGAAGAUGACCUGCAGGGGAGAAGGGAGAGAUACAGCUUGCAGCCAGAGACCUGAAACCUGCUGUAAUUAACUUGAUCAUCACUAGCAGGGCAUGCCAAGAUGAAACAAAUAUUAGGGAAAACUUGGUACACAUUAAUGUAGUUUAGAGCUAAACAGUGUGUACCAUGUCACAUUACACUUCUUUAUGGUCAGUAGAGAGAGGUAGGUACUUUGAAUAUAUAACUCAUCUAGUCUAUUUUAGAGAGGAGAUGCAUCCAUAAAUACCCAAUUGUGCAGAGCAUGAUCUGACAGGUAAGAUGUAUUU
rnacentral:lncRNA from 1 species